AACCCCCACAAGAAAAGCUCCUAAUGGCGCGUCGGCUACAGACAAUUGGGGAGGGCGCAGCUUGCUGGCAGCAGAAUGAGGGCAAAGAAUAGCCACGGUUGCUAAGGGACACAUAUUCGGGGUAACGGGGUAAAUAGGCGAUGGGAAUAAAACCCUUUUGCUCAUUUCACUGACGCACAGUCCGAGCCUUUCGCCGCUUAUAGUGCGCAAACUCCCGCCAAACAGCAGAGGGCGCUCCUGUCUUUUUGUGUCCCAGCGCUCCGCCCCCAGCCCUGUCACAUGGCGGUGACGCGGCGCGGCUAUAUAAGGAGCGCAGAAGGCCGCGGAGCUUCCUUUCCCGGAGUGCAGGCUGGAAGGUGCCAGAAGAGUGGGUGCCAGGCUGGAAGGUGCCAGAAGAGUGGGUGCCAGGCUGGAAGGUGCCAGAAGAGUGGGUGCCAGGCUGGAAGGUGCCGUAGGAGCGGACACUGUAUGUGCCACUUGCCCUACCAAUAAAGUGUGGUAACCCCA